UCUUUCUUCACUUGGCGAGCCAGUUGCUCCC
rnacentral:piRNA from 1 species